AUGCAGGCAUAGUGGAAUUAUCUUCAGAACCCCUAUAAGCCACCGGUGGGCACGUAGAGAUAUGAGCAGGUUUAAAGAGAGCCCUUGAGACAGAGCAGUGGGCUGGACAUUGCAGGAAUCGUCAGAUUGUUUUCCCAAAGUGGCUGCACCUUUCCACAUUUUUAUGCUGGCAACGUGUGUGGGUUCCAACUUUUCCACCUCUUCCCUAACACGUGUGACUGUCUGCCCUUUUCACAGUCAUCCUGUUGAAAAAAAGGAAGCUAAGACCCCAUGAAGGUAGGAUUUGCUCCAAAUUACAUUGUUAAUAAGUGUUAGAUUGCAAAUGCAGUCCUUGGGAACAUGAGCUGGAGGCCACAUACAAUAGAGUGACAAGACAACGAGCCGGGGUGACUGGCACCGUGGAGAUCCUUGCCAAUCCGAACCACCUAUGCAGACUUCCACGUGGGAGAGAAAUGAGCUGUGAUCAUGCUUACAUCAUCGUUCUGGUUGUCUGUCGUUUGUAGGUGAACGUAACCUGACACAUGCAUACAGAAAUUCUUGCAAGGAUGCUCAUAAUGUCAGCAGUGGUUCCCCCAGGAUUGCAGGAUUCAGAGGGAUUUUUAGGUUACCUUCGUAAUUCUCUGGGUACACGAGCCACUUCUUACAAAAGCAAUAAAUCAAAAGAAAAAUAGACCACAGUAGCCUCUACCUUCUGCCCUACGGUUUCAGUUCAGCGGCCAAGUUCUCACCUGCUCUCAGCCCAUCCGCACACUGUGUUUCUGGCCGACUGCUCGCCCUGCUCUCUGGAGUGCACUUCUGGCUUGCCUGACAUUGAGGUUCAGGCUUACAUCUGCAAAAUGCAUCUGCAGUACACCAUUGUGUUGGGAGGGGGCGGAGGAAGAUGAGCCUCCUCCUCCCUGGGAGGGGAAGAAAACCAGAAAAUCAAGCCAGUUAGUGUCUUCAGAGAGAAGACAGAUGGAAAUAUAUCUGUAGUUCAUUCAUUUAUUCCAUAAUUAUGCCCGGGCGGGGGUGGGGGCAUAUAUGGUUCUAAGCCCUCUUCUAGGUAUGAGGGUAACAGCAGUAAACGUGGACUCUUUGUUGUCAUGACGCAUACAGCCUAGAGGGAGGGACAAGCAAGCAUCUAGAUGCUUCUGUGCCAGCCUGUCUUGUUGAGCUGGCCUGUGUCUGCAUCCAUGUUACUGAGAGUUCUAUUUCCCAGAAGAUCUCAGGGCCUUAGUGCCUCAUUCAUUCACUUGAGAAAACAUUUUCCGAGCGUCUCGAAGGGCCAGGCUGUACAUCGGGAAUUUAGAGGUGAGCAAGACUGCCUGUUUUCGAGAUUUGGCCAGUCUGAUGGGAGUGUCAGCACCAUAAACGAUUGCAACAUAGUCAGAAGGGAGUCAGGUCCCACACAGGCCUCUGGUGGCAAAAGGGACUCCCGGUCUUGCCUGUAGGAGGGGUACAAGGAAGCCUUUGGAGUCGUCCCAGCUCCCCGGGAAUGAAAAUUACCAGGUAUGUCCCAGGCCCAGUGGACACAAUCCUCUCUGAGAUGCAGACAUCAGCACCAGUAAAGUGCACCCUUUAUCUUUCAAGUACACAGAGGCCUUGGCUAUAGUCUAAAAUGGGGUUCAGACACCUGUGAGAUAAAACGGAAGGGCUGGGCUUUCUCAUCCUGAGAAUAAAGACCCCCCCCCCCCCCUUAAACAAGAUACAGAAAGCAAAGUCCUUAAAGGGAAAAGGAUGUGGGCGGG